GGGGGCGAUGGUGGCGGAGCUGCGCGUGCGGCCGUUGGUAACGGUCGCGGGGCGGGGAGGCCGUGAGGUAACCGACGGACCGAGGGCUCCGAGCGGCCUCAAAACCCCUCGGAACGGCCUCAAAACCCCGCGAGCCGCCUCAAAACCCGCGCCCGGCCCCAGCCCGAGGUACUUGCUGGGCCCCGGUCUUUGUGCCCCCGCUGGUGUUCUUCGGCUUUGCUUUUAGAAGUCGGUGCAGGAGGAAGGGACUGCCAUCCUGGGCGCUGAGCGUGGAGCCUGAUGCUUUGGGCCAGUCUGUGGCUGCUGGAGCAGAAGGGGAGCAGUCAUUUAAGCACGAGGAAGUACGUUGUCCAGCCGGCGAGCAGCAGUGCUCCAACCAGCACUGUGUAGCUGAACAGCACGAAGGCCAGCAGCUCCCUCAGGACCUUGAGGAAGUGGAUGGCAAAGGAGUCCGGCAUGGUUCUCCCCAGCACCACGGGGCAGGCAGCGCUGUUGACGUGCAUGUGGCCAGUUCAAGAUUUAUUUGUUGCUGCCUCUGCUAGAAGAAGCCCAGUGAAUGUCUUGGCCAGACAGUGGACUUGCGUGUGACCGAGGGGUAGGUAACCACAACAGCGUGGCGCAGGCUAAGCAGGCCCUGCAGGAGCGCUUCUCUGGCUGCCUCAGAGCCCUGUGGUUUCCGAAGGGGGACUGAGGACAUGUGGCAGCAGAAUUGUAGAGCCUCGUAAAGCAGCUGGGGCCAAAAGGAGCCUGCUUGCUUACUCUUUCUGUUUCAGUUUGGUACUUGGUGAAUUAUGUGUCAUUGUUUGUUUUUUGUCUUCAAGCUGUAUCUAAUCAUAUGCAGUAAAAAAGUUACUGCUUCCCCUU